ACAUGGUCCUGGCCCCUUACAAGAGAGAUCUCUCUUUGAGAAAAAGAGGGGUGCUCCUCCAAGUAGCAAUAUUGAAGACUUCCAUGGACUCUUACCGAAGGGUUAUCCCCAUCUGUGCUCUAUAUGUGAUUUGCCAGUUCAUUCUAAUAAGGAGUGGAGUCAACAUAUCAAUGGAGCAAUUCACAGUCGUCGAUGCCAGCUUCUUCUUGAAAUCUAUCCAGAAUAGAAUCCUGACAAUGAUACAGGACACACAAUGGGUGAUCCCUUCAUGUUGCAGCAGUCCACAAACCCAGGGCCAGGAAUUCUGGGACCUCCACCUCCCUCAUUCCAUCUUGGGCGACCAGCAGUUGGACCAAGAGGAAAUCUGGUUACUGGAAAUGGGAACCUGCAAGGACCUAGACACAUGCAGAAAGGCAGAGUAGAAACUAGCCGAGUUGUUCACAUCAUGGAUUUUCAAUGAGGGAAAAACUUGAGAUACCAACUAUUACAGCUUGUGGAACCAUCUGAAGUCAUUUCAAAUCAUCUGAUUCUAAAUAAAAUUAAUGAGGCUUUUAUUGAAAUGGCAACUACAGAGGAUGCUCAGGCUGCAGUGGAUUAUUAUACAACCACGCCAGCAUUAGUGUUUAGCAAGCCAGUGAGAGUCCAUUUAUCCCAGAAGUAUAAAAGAAUAAAGAAGCCCAAGGGGAAGCCAGAUCAGAAGUUUGAUCAAAAGCAAGAGCUUGGACAUGUAAUACAUCUUAGCAAUUUGCCCCAUUCUGGCUAUUCUGAUAGUGCUAUUCUAAAGCUUGCUGAGCUUUAUGGAAAAAUAAAAAAUUAUAUAUUGAUGAGGAUGAAGAGUCAGGCCUUCAUUGAGAUGGAGACAAGAGAAGAUGCAAUGGCAAUGGUUGACCAUUGUUUGAAAAAAGCCCUUUGCUUUCAGGGGAGAGAUGUAUAAAGGUUGACCUUUCUGAAAAAUACAAAAAACUGGUACUGAGGAUUCCUAACACAGGCAUUGACUUACUGAAAAAAGAUAAAUCCCGAAAAAGGUCUUAUUCUCCAGAUGGCAAAGAAUCUCUAAGUGAUAAGAAAUCUAAAACUGAUGGUUCCAGAAGACUUAAAGUACAACUGAAGGUAAAGAACAAGAAGAAAAGUCAGGUGAAGAUGGUGACAAAGAUACAAAGGAUGACCAGACAGAACAGGAACCCAGUAUGCUUCUCGAAUCUGAAGAUGAGCUGGUUGUAGAUGAAGAAGAAGCAGCUGCAUUAUUAGAAAGUGGCAGUUCAGUGGGAGAUGAGACUGAUCUUGCUAAUUUAGGUGAUGUGGCUUCUGAUGGGAAAAAAGGAGGCUUCAGAUAAAGCUGUGAAAAAAGAUGCAACUGCUUCAGCAGCAGCAAAGAAAAAGCUUAAAAAGGUGGACAAGAUCAAGGAACUUGAUCAAGAAAAUGAAGCAGCGUUGGAAAAUGGAAUUAAAAAUGAGGAAAAUACAGAACCAGGUGCAGAAUCUGCUGAGAAUGCUGAUAAUCCCAACAAAGAUACAAGUGAAAAUGCAGAUGGACAAAGUGAUGAAAACAAGGAGGACUAUACAAUCCCAGAUGAGUAUAGACUUGGACCACAUCAGCCCAAUGUUCUUGUUGGUAUAGACUAUGUGAUACCUAAAACAGGGUUUUACUAUAAGCUGUGUUCGCUCUGUUAUACAAAUGAAGAAGUUGCAAAGAAAACUCAUUGCAGCAGCCUUCCUCAUUAUCAGAAAUUAAAGAAAUUUCUGAAUAAAUUGGCAGAGGAAUGCAGACAAAAGAAGGAAACAUAAGAUGUCCAAGAAGAGUUAGCCAUUUCAAAGAAAAUAAUGGUUCUUUGUUUUUAAUGUUAACCUUUUUUAAAUACAAUACUGAUGUUAGAAGAUGACUAUUGUACUCUUUUGUUUUAGUGGAGAAAUAAUAGAUGUCUGUUCCUGUGUUAAAUGUUAUAGCAAGAAAGUAGAUAUGUGGUUAAGUU